GGAGUCAAAUCCUACCAAAUCCUGAUGAACUCCGAAUGCUAACAGAUUACUCCGGGAGUGAGGGCUAGGGUGCUAAGGUCCUGGUCCGAGAGGGAAAGAACCCAGACCGUCAGCUAAGGUCCCUAAAUAUAUGCUAAGUUGAACUAAGGUGGUCCAGUUGCAGAGACAGCCAGGAGGUUGGCUUGGAAGCAGCCAUUCCUUUAAAGAGUGCGUAACAGCUCACUGGUCGAGCGACAGGGCGUCGAUAAUAAUCGGGCAUCAAGCAUAUUACCGAAGCUACGGACACUGACGUUAGCGUCAGUGUGGUAGGAGAGCAUUCCAAUGGCGGCGAAGGCGAGUUGCGAGACUUGUUGGAGCGAUUGGAAAAGAAAAUGUAGGCAUAAGUAACGAUAAUGCGGGCGAGAAACCCGCACACCGCAAGACUAAGGUUUCCUGAUCAACGCUAAUCGGAUCAGGGUUAGUCGGGACCUAAGGCGAACCCGAAAGGGGUAGUCGAUGGACAAGGGGUUAAUAUUCCCCUACCGGCUUAAGUGAGUGAAGUGGGGACGAAGGGGCGUAAGCUCUGCGUACUGACGGAAUAGUACGUUGAAGCGUGUAGGUAUAUUGAGUGUAGGCAAAUCCGCACUUGAUGCUGAACGUGAUAGUACCACAACGCUACGGCAGCGUGGAUAGUAGACCUAAUCAGACUUCCGAGAAAACCCUCUAAGCUACAGGUUAUGGGUACCCGUACCGUAAACCGACACAGGUAGUCGAGGAGAGUAUCCUCAGGUGCUCGAGUGAUUCAUGGCUAAGGAACUAGGCAAAAUGACCCUGUAACUUCGGGAGAAGGGGUCCCUACUUC
rnacentral:rRNA from 1 species